rnacentral:snoRNA from 1 species
UUUAAGGAUGAUUUUACACAGACCUGUACUGAAAACAGAUUGAGGAAAUGUGAUUUCUGAAA